rnacentral:piRNA from 1 species
CCAAGGGAAGUGGUGGUCUGCAAAGU